CCUACGGGAGGCAGCAGUGAGGAAUAUUGGUCAAUGGACGAGAGUCUGAACCAGCCAAGUAGCGUGAAGGAUGACUGCCCUAUGGGUUGUCAACUUCUUUUAUAAAGGAAUAAAACGAGGCACGUGUGCCUUUUUGCAUGUACUUUAUGAAUAAGGAUCGGCUAACUCCGUGCCAGCAGCCGCGGUAAUACGGAGGAUCCGAGCGUUAUCCGGAUUUAUUCGGUUUAAAGGGAGCGUAGAUGGGUUGUUAAGUCAGUUGUGAAAGUUUGCGGCUCAACCGUAAAAUUGCAAUUGAUACUGGCAGUCUUGAGUACAGUUGAGGUAGGCGGAAUUCGUGGUGUAGCGGUGAAAUGCUUAGAUAUCACGAAGAACCCCGAUUGCGAAGGCAGCUUACUAAACUGUGACUGACAUUGAUGCUCGAAAGUGUGGGUAUCAAACAGGAUUAGAUACCCCUGUAGUC
rnacentral:rRNA from 1 species